AUGUAAAAUGACUUUCGGCAACGGAUAUCUCGGCUCUUGCAUCGAUGAAGAACGUAGCGAAAUGCGAUACUUGGUGUGAAUUGCAGAAUCCCGUGAACCAUCGAGUCUUUGAACGCAAGUUGCGCCCAAAGCCAUUAGGCUGAGGGCACGCCUGCCUGGGUGUCACAC
rnacentral:rRNA from 1 species